UAAAUAAAAAACUAAUUAUAUUAUAUUAAAAAUAUAAUUUAUAUAAUUUUACAAGCAGUAUCAAAAAAAAUACAAUACAUCAAGACAAAAGAAAAUCAGCCCAGAUCCUCCUCGUCAUCCUCCCCCUCAUCCUUCUGCACCUCUCUAGCAGCUGAUGGGUAAGAAAUGGAUAUCCCAGCAUUCUCAAAUGAAAAAAAAUAAAAUAUUAUUAAUAAGGUUCAAUAUGAAGGCAUAUCUUUCGAUACGGAGAUGUAUUUUUCGAUACACUCCUUCGAUUCUUGAAUAGAUUAUUUUUACAUAUUUUAUUCGAUGAUACGAAACUAUAGACACAUCUGACUCAUCAAUUGGAUGGUUAGAUUGAAUUUUUAGCUCAUACAUUUCCUUCUCCGACUCAAGCCUAAAUAUGUGAAGUUUCUAAAUAUGAAAACUUAAAACAAGUAAAAAAAUUUACUAAUAGAAUUAUCUGAUAUGAUGGCUAGGAUAAUGAGUCCAGCUGGUUAUGCAGUUGUAGGCCCCGAAGAAUCUCCACGACCAUAUUGCGGAUGACAUCCUGAAAGCUCUGAGGUCGCUGGCUCAGAAGCCUCUACAUGACCUCCU
rnacentral:lncRNA from 1 species